GGGGAGAGACGCGGGGCGGGGGGGGGGGGGGGGGGGGGGGGGGGGGGGGGGGGGGGGGGGGGGGGGGGGGGGGGGGGGGGGGGGGGGGGGGGGGGGGGGGGGGAGGGGAGCUUCAACAAUGGCCUCCCACCUGACUCCUCGGAGCCUGGCCUCCUGACCUCUGCUCUUCCUGUUGCCUGUGCCUGUCCAGGAAAAAUUCUGAGUUUCCUCCUUCAAGGCAUCUUGUUACAUGCCCAUGGUGAGGGGUGGGGGACAGGGAGUCCUCAGAGGGUUCUCAGGACCCCGCAGAGCCAGGAGGGGUUCCAGGGAAACCAGAGGACAGCUAUCAUCCAAACAGAUUGUAGGUGAAAACCCCAGUAUUUCCUCCUAUUUUAUUACGAUGACGGAAUUAUCGCAGAAUGUCGUGAAGAGGCUAAAGCACAAGAGUUACAGGUUUGAAGACAGUAACCAGGGAGGCAAAGAUAAAAGGUCAGAGGCAGACGGACUCUGCAUCAGCCUGUGGUCUGGGAAAUAACAAAGGCUAUCAUUCAUGUAAAUCGUGGUGGUGUUGGUAAGCGGGUGAGAAAAUCUCCACUUAUUUAUUGAUCUGCCCUCUGAAGCCAGAUGGACAGCUGGGGCUGAAGCUGGAACUGGAGCCAGAGAAUGUGGAGAGAGUGCCCAGAGGUGGAGGUGGAGGAGCUGGCGCUGUGACAUUGAAAUAUGAGUGGUUUUCCCCAGGUUUCAAUUACAGCUUCUGGACCCGAUCUCAGAGCCACUCCCUCUGGGAGCAUGAAAGGGGAUGGGGGCUAGAAAUCAGGAAUUUUGGAAAUUUCAGUUUUAAAAAGACAGAAAGUGGGGCGCCUGGGUAACUCAGUCGGUUAAGCGUCCAAUUUAGGCUCAGGGCAUGAUCUCACAGUUCCUGGGUUCAAGCCCCAUGUGGGGCUCUGUGUUGACAGCUCAGAGCUGGAGACUUCUUCGAAUUCUGUGUCUCCCUCUCCUUCUGCCCCUCCUCUGCUCUCUCUUUCUCUGUCUCUUUCUCUCAAAAAUAAACAUUAAAAAAAUGAACAUGUU
rnacentral:lncRNA from 1 species